rnacentral:rRNA from 1 species
UAGGGAAUCUUCGGCAAUGGGGGGAACCCUGACCGAGCAACGCCGCGUGAGUGAAGAAGGUUUUCGGAUCGUAAAGCUCUGUUGUUAAGGAAGAAAGAGUGUGAGAAUGGAAAGUUCAUACUGUGACGGUAAUUAACCAGAAAGGGACGGCUAACUACGUUCCAGCAGCAGCGGUAAUACGUAGGGGGCUAGAGUUGUCCGGAAUCACUGAGCGUAAAGGGUUCGCAGGCGGAAAUGCAAGUCAGGUGUAAAAGGCAGUAGCUUAACUACUGUAAGCAUUUGAAACUGCAUAUCUUGAGAAGAGUAGAGGUAAGUGGAAUUUUUAGUGUAUCGGUGAAAUGCGUAGAUAUUAAAAAGAAUACCGGUGGCGAAGGCGACUUACUGGGCUCAUUCUGACGCUGAGGAACGAAAGCGUGGGUAGCAAACAGG